CACGUAUUUAGCCGGAGCUUCUUAGUCAGGUACCGUCAUUUUCUUCCCUGCUGAUAGAGCUUUACAUACCGAAAUACUUCUUCACUCACGCGGCGUUGCUGCAUCAGGGUUCCCCCCAUUGUGCGAUAUUCCCCACUGCUGCCUCCCGUAGGAGUUUGGGCCGUGUCUCAGUCCCAAUGUGGCCGUCCACUCUCUCAAGCCGGCUACUGAUCGUUGUCUUGGUAGGCCGUUACCCUGCCAACUAACUAAUCAGACGUGGGCCCAUCCUGUACCACCGGAGUUUUUCCUGCUGUACCAUGCGGCACUGUAGGCUUAUGCGGUAUUAGCAGCCGUUUCCAGCUGUUCGUCCCCCUGUACAGGGCACGGUUUACCCACGCGUUACUCCACCCGUCCGCCCACUCAGUCCUGCGCAUCCUUCCCUCGUGGAGCGUUCCGCCGCGCUAGUCCUUCGUUCGACUUGCUAUGUUGUUAGGCACCGCCCGUCCACGUCCGUUCGAUCCGU
rnacentral:rRNA from 1 species